rnacentral:misc_RNA from 1 species
UAUUACUAAAAUUCUUCAUCAAAUUUGUAUAGUUUUGUUAUAAUCCAUGGCGGAUUCCUUCAAACUCCAGCAUCGAAAACUUGAAUACAGGCGUUUGAUUCCGGCAUUUCUGUUGUCUCAUUACACUCUUCUUACUAUUCUCUGGAUCGUUGGAUUUAUUCUGAUCGUCAUUUGGCAAAGGACUGCAGUUGAACGGCUUCUGAUAUAUCGAGGUUUGGCAUCACCUACGAG